AUUGACCGCUGGAGGCAGGCCUAACACAUGCAAGUCGAGCGGAGCGGAGGACGGGUGAGUAAUGCCUAGGAAUCUGACUGGUAGUGGGGGAUAAAGUCCGGAAAAGGACGCUAAUACCGAAUACUAUCAGAUGAACAUAGGACGGAUUAGGUAGUUGGUGGGGUAAAGGCCUCACCAGGCGACGAUCCGUGACUGGGAUGAGAGGAUGAUCAGUCAGACUGGAACUGAGACACGGGCCAUCCUCCUACGGGAGGCAGCAGUGGUGAAUAUUGGACAAUGGGCGAAAGCCUGAUCCAGCCAUGCCGCGUGUGUGAAGAAGGUCUUCGGAUUUGAAAGCACUUUAAGUUGGGAGGCGUUACCAACAGAAUAAGCACCGUCUAACUUCGUGCCAGCAGCCGCGGUAAUUC
rnacentral:rRNA from 1 species